UGGCUGGUUAGCUCAGUUGGUCAGAGCGUGGUACUCAUAAUGCCAAGGUCAUGGGUUCAAUCCCCCUUUGGCCAA